rnacentral:lncRNA from 1 species
UGACAGUUAAAACAUGGACUCUUCUUCCAAUGCAAGAUCAAGCAUGAUUAGUUAUGUAUUAAACAAUGUAAAAUCCUAAGAGGGAUAAAACUUAGUUGGUUACUGAGACCAGGUUCCAAUAUCUUUUCAGUCCCAACAAAGUAAUUGCCAGGAAAUUCCUUGCAAUCUUAAUUCUGUAGCCUAGACAAGCAACAAAGCAGCUGUCUGUACCUUAGGACUUUGGAAAUUCUACGUAGUAUUACAGAACCUACCAAUCAAAGCAAAGAGACAGAUCAGGGAAAAGAGUCAAUCACAAACAUGUUUUGUGCAACUAACUAGAAAGAAAAUAAGGUUCUCAAGAGGCACCACUAAGAGAAGAACUGUUGCGAAGAAUCUUCUUGGUCAUCCAUCUGUGCCCAAGCAACCACAGGGAAGAGGGACCAGUGAGAAGACGCCAAACAGCUGUCUGCAAACAAGAAAAGAAAAGAAGCCACCAGAAUUUGGAAGACUCUGAGCCCCAAACUUACAUGAAGCAACUGCAUUUAAGUACAGCAAGGGGAGGACUAAGAUGGAUGCUAUGAGAUGCCCACCACAUCCCCCAGCACUGAGGCUCCCAUACUUCCCUUGCCAGUUUAAGUACUGGGACUCACAGCUGGAGUUGAGAGCCUUUCUCCCCCUGACAUCUCCAGGUGGUGGUGAGACAUCAUCAAAUCCUAAGAAACAGUGCACUUGA